ACGGCCACAUUGGGACUGAGACACGGCCCAGACUCCUACGGGAGGCAGCAGUGGGGAAUAUUGCACAAUGGGGGAAACCCUGAUGCAGCGACGCCGCGUGGAGGAAGAAGGUCUUCGGAUUGUAAACUCCUGUUGUUGAGGAAGAUAAUGACGGUACUCAACAAGGAAGUGACGGCUAACCACGUGCCAGCAGCCGCGGUAAAACGUAGGUCACAAGCGUUGUCCGGAAUUACUGGGUGUAAAGGGAGCGCAGGCGGGAAGACAAGUUGGAAGUGAAAUCUAUGGGCUCAACCCAUAAACUGCUUUCAAAACUGUUUUUCUUGAGUAGUGCAGAGGUAGGCGGAAUUCCCGGUGUAGCGGUGGAAUGCGUAGAUAUCGGGAGGAACACCAGUGGCGAAGGCGGCCUACUGGGCACCAACUGACGCUGAGGCUCGAAAGUGUGGGUAGCAAACAGGAUUAGAUACCCUGGUAGUCCACACCGUAAACGAUGAUUACUAGGUGUUGGAGGAUUGACCCCUUCAGUGCCGCAGUUAACACAAUAAGUAAUCCACCUGGGGAGUACGACCGCAAGGUUGAAACUCAAAGGAAUUGACGGAGGCCCGCACAAGCAGUGGAGUAUGUGGUUUAAUUCGACGCAACGCGAAGAACCUUACCAAGUCUUGACAUCCUGCGACGCACAUAGAAAUAUGUGUUUCCUUCGGGACGCAGAGACAGGUGGUGCAUGGUUGUCGUCAGCUCGUGUCGUGAGAUGUUGGGUUAAGUCCCGCAACGAGCGCAACCCUUACUGUCAGUUACUACGCAAGAGGACUCUGGCAGGUCUGCCGUUGACAAAACGGAGGAAGGUGGGGAUGACGUCAAAUCAUCAUGCCCUUUAUGACUUGGGCUACACACGUACUACAAUGGCGUUAAACAAAGAGAAGCAAGACCGCGAGGUGGAGCAAAACUCAGAAACAACGUCCCAGUUCGGACUGCAGGCUGCAACUCGCCUGCACGAAGUCGGAAUUGCUAGUAAUCGUGGAUCAGCAUGCCACGGUGAAUACGUUCCCGGGCCUUGUACACACCGCCCGUCACACCAUGAGAGCCGGGGGGACCCGAAGUCGGUAGUCUAACCGCAAGGAGGACGCCGCCGAAGGUAAAACUGGUGAUUGGGGUGAAGUCGUAACAAGGUAGCCGUAGGAGAACCUGCGGCUG
rnacentral:rRNA from 1 species